GUGAGAGUGAGACUCAGCCAACGCCAAGGCAUGGCUAGAUUUUCAAAUGUAAAAAUAUGUUCAUGUGUGUACUACACUGAACAGCCUUGACGGUCUCGAUCAGAUGCCUAGGCCAAGGCAUCCCCGGGAAUGAUUUUGGCAAGAGCCAAGUUUUAUGAAAUACAUAAGCAAAGUUGAUUAUUUGAGUAAAUUGAUUAUUGAUGUUAUGAAAAACACACUGGAAUGGAAUAUCUUACUUGUCUCCAUUUACUAGACUUUAGAUGGUUUAGAUGGUAUCUGUUUACUCACUGGGAUUUUAUAAUCUCACCACCCUAAAUUCCUCACAUUUUAGGCUCGGGAUAGUCGGUAGAUAGCCGAUUGCAUCAAGGACUUCAGUUAGCCUUGCAUCGACAAAAUUGUAGGUUCAUAGACUCGCACCUUAUUGGUUAGUUGGGGGCCCACGUGUCACUGUAAAAGUAAUUUUAUACUUCAGUUAUCUGCUUUAAAGUACGUAUGAAUAUAUUUAGCUUUUACACUACAAAAAUUAAUUACGG
rnacentral:lncRNA from 1 species